UACGAAGGGUGCAAGCGUUAAUCGGAAUUACUGGGCGUAAAGCGUGCGUAGGCGGUUUGUUAAGUCUGUUGUGAAAUCCCCGAGCUCAACUUGGGAAUUGCAAUGGAUACUGGCAGGCUGGAGUAUGGUAGAGGAAGGUGGAACUCCCGGUGUAGCAGUGAAAUGCGUAGAGAUCGGGAGGAACACCAGUGGCGAAGGCGGCCUUCUGGACCAAUACUGACGCUCAUGCACGAAAGCGUGGGGAGCAAACAGG
rnacentral:rRNA from 1 species